UUCACUAUGCCUCGAAAAAGAUCUUCCCUAUCUCGAAGAUGUUCUCCCCUCCCGCCGUCUGUCCCAUCACCACCGAGGAUCGUUCCGUUGCUGGCUCAUUGUUCGUGCUCCGGUGGUCUUCACCGCCGAGGAUCGUUCGUUGUUUUUAUUUUUGAUUUGAUGUCUCGAUGGUCUUCAAGACAAAAUUUGAAGUUGAAUUUUGAUGGAAAUGGAAAGAGUUUUGGGGUUGGUACUUUAUACUUUUGUUUCAGAAUGAUGUUAGCUUCAAUGACCUUUUGUUGAACUUUUGUUAUGCAAAUUUGUGAUAGCUAGUGUCGGUACUAAUUUUAUUCAUCUUUUAGUUGAUGUAACUUGACAAUUAUAACUUAGGUUGAUAUUACUUGAACUCAUUAGAAAAUUAACGAAGUUUGUUGAUAUAACUUGUCAUGUAAACUUGUGCUAAGUUGGUAAUGCUUCAUUUUGUUUCAAUGAUAGUAUUGGAAA